GUCAAGCCACUGGAAAAGUGUUAGGUAGGGGAAGGUGAAGGCCCUAAAUCCUUGUGUACGAUACUCAAUAGGGCAUGAAUCCUGAUCCUCAAUCACUAACUACCUAUGGAGCAAAGCAACUGAUGUCUGACCUGAGUUUUCAAGGUUAAGUCAGAGAAAGAGCUGUUUCUAAGGCACUGGGAAUGCAUGCAAAGCCAUUAAAAGAAAUGGUCUGUGCCGAGUUCCAGAAACGGCUGUAUGAGGUAAAACCAAAAAGAGGAAAGGCCAUGCGAAGACACUACAAGACAGCAGCCACCUGCAAGCCAAAGAAAGAGGCCACAGAAGAAACCAACCCUGAGGGCACCUGACCAUGACCUUAAGGCUUCCAGCCUCUGGAAUACUGAGAAAAUAAAUUUCUGUUUAAGCCACCCAGGUUGCAGCCUUUUUAUUAUGGCACCCCAAGCUAACACAUCUCCCUUUAUGCACUUUACCCUCCCCAUUUAGAGUAGCAUUGUUAUAAGUGCUUCCUCUAUGUACAGUGAGAACCUCAUCAGACAGAUAGAAGUUUUGCUUCUACCAAACAUAAUUUAGAAAAUUCAAGGAAAGUACACUUACAUUUUUAUUUACACUGUACACUUUCUCUUCCCAGUAUUUCAAGGAUGCCUCCUUGUAUUUCUUUUAUUAUUAUUAUUAUUUUCUUAUUCUUUUUCUUAUUAUUCUUUUAUUAUUUUUCUGUUUAGAAAAUAUCAUUAGCUAUUCUUUUAAGGCCCAAAACUCCCUUUGUUUUCUUUCAUCUCAGCAUGUCUUGAUUUUGCCUUCAUUCCUGAA